rnacentral:rRNA from 1 species
AUUGAACGCUGGCGGCAGGCCUAACACAUGCAAGUCGAGCGGAUGAAGGGAGCUUGCUCCUGGAUUCAGCGGCGGACGGGUGAGUAAUGCCUAGGAAUCUGCCUGGUAGUGGGGGAUAACGCCCGGAAACGGGCGCUAAUACCGCAUACGUCCUGAGGGAGAAAGUGGGGGAUCUUCGGACCUCACGCUAUCAGAUGAGCCUAGGUCGGAUUAGCUAGUUGGUGGGGUAAAGGCCUACCAAGCGACGAUCCGUAACUGGUCUGAGAGGAUGAUCAGUCACACUGGAACUGAGGCACGGUCCAGACUCCUACGGGAGGCAGCAGUGGGGAAUAUUGGACAAUGGGCGAAAGCCUGAUCCAGCCAUGCCGCGUGUGUGAAGAAGGUCUUCGGAUUGUAAAGCACUUUAAGUUGGGAGGAAGGGCAGUAAGUUAAUACCUUGCUGUUUUGACGUUACCAACAGAAUAAGCACCGGCUAACUUCGUG